GUCCCUUCGGGGACAUCCGAUAAAAUUGGAACGAUACAGAGGAGAUUAGCAUGGCUCCUGCGCAAGAAUGACAUGCACAAAUCGAGAAAUGGUCCAAAUAUAU